AGAUAAUAGAUACCCCGGUAGUCCACGCCGUAAACGAUGAGUGCUAAGUGUUAGAGGGUUUCCGCCCUUUAGUGCUGCAGCUAAACGCAUUAAGCACUCCGCCUGGGGAGUACGGUCGCAAGACUGAAACUCAAAGGAAUUGACGGGGGCCCGCACAAGCGGUGGAGCAUGUGGUUUAAUUCGAAGCAACGCGAAGAACCUUACCAGGUCUUGACAUCCUCUGACAACUCUAGAGAUAGAGCGUUCCCCUUCGGGGGACAGAGUGACAGGUGGUGCAUGGUUGUCGUCAGCUCGUGUCGUGAGAUGUUGGGUUAAGUCCCGCAACGAGCGCAACCCUUGAUCUUAGUUGCCAGCAUUUAGUUGGGCACUCUAAGGUGACUGCCGGUGACAAACCGGAGGAAGGUGGGGAUGACGUCAAAUCAUCAUGCCCCUUAUGACCUGGGCUACACACGUGCUACAAUGGAUGGUACAAAGGGCUGCAAGACCGCGAGGUCAAGCCAAUCCCAUAAAACCAUUCUCAGUUCGGAUUGUA
rnacentral:rRNA from 1 species